UCUUCAUGGCACACAAAUGAAAUAAAUCUGUUGGUUAGAGCAUGGCGCUGACAACGCCAAGGCUGCAGGUUCAAUCCUUGUAUGGGAGAG